rnacentral:lncRNA from 1 species
UCUUUAAAUCUACCCAAAGAUAACAUUUCUCCAACACCAAUAAAUGCUUCUGUAGAAAAGGAUCAUGAAUAAUUCGGCUAAAAGGAGUCAGGUAACGAGAGAUUAAAACAACAUCCCAGGGAGGGGAAAAACACCUUUUUUGAAGGUCAGAAACACGCUUUCAGUCCAUAAAAUGGAUUUGAACUAAAAAUGCUACAGUAGUAGCUCCUUUCGGUCAGAAUCACAUUAUAGUAAAUGCGUAUUGUCAUAACAUGAUGGUCCAAUUACAAGACAUAAUCGCUGUAAACUCACUUCCUGUGUGGCAGCAGAUCAUGUGACAGGAACCUUUACCAAGUCCUGCAGGUUUAAGUGAGCUUGUUAGCCGCAGCCCUGCUUUGUUUGAAAUCCCUUUAAUCAUCUGAUCUGUCUCUUGCUCUCCUCUUGGGUUUGUUUUCUCGCGGCUUCUCCCUCCAUCUCCUCACACAUCUCUGCAGCCUCAUAGUUUUUCCCUUUAAUUUUUCCCCUUAGUUUUGUUGUUGUUUUUUGAGUUUUUCUCCCUGCUGCUUCUAACACGCUGUCUUUUCUUCACAGCAGUGUCCACCAAGAUUUAACAGUUGGUACUAAGAGAGGAUCUGACGAACUUUUCUCCAGCGUCUCCAACGGCCCGUAUAUCAUGAACACCACAGGUCAGAACACACUCUGUGCACACAAGCAGAAUCCAAAG